ACAAGGAAUGUUCUUUUUCAGCCCUCUUAUCUGCUUCUUGCCUGAACUCUAAGAUCACUUCUCCCUGACUGGGGAGGAUUAGUGGAAGCAGCUUCUUCCCUCUGAGCAGGAGAGCAGCUGCUCUCUGCCCGUUUCUACCUCUCAACAGAGAGAAGCAAAAGGUCUUAGUAGCCCAGCCCUUAUGUGGGUCACCAGAAUAUGUCUGGAAUAUUCAUUGUAAAGAAGAAAAGUUCUACAGCCCCUCUCCAAACAUCAGUAGUAUUUAAA
rnacentral:lncRNA from 1 species